CCCUCCCCCCUCCACGCCCCCGGGCCGAGUCAGGCUCCCGCCCCGCGUGUCUUCCGAACGGCACCGCGCUCGUCUCCGGCCAAAGGCAAGGCAGCCCAGCCCAGAAAAUUGGCUAAGUGAAGUCACCAGGUGAUGGCAUCCUACGGUGCGCCUUGGGCAAAAACAGCAGCUCGGCAGCGCGUCCGGGGCCAAAAUCAGCAGCUCGGCCACGUGGUCCGUGAAGUCCCCGGAAAGCCGGCUUUCCUACGCGUGACCGAUAUGCGCCCGGGGCAGUUCGCCCCGGCGGCAGGGCCGAAAACCAGCUGUUCGCCCAGGCGUCGCAGCGGCUCGGCAUGGCGUCCGUGGACAGGCCAAGUCCCCCGGGCCGACGGCGCCCGGUGGGCGGAAACAGCGGUUCGCCCUGGCGCCAGGGCUGAAAACCAGCCGUUCGGCAAGGCGGUCCGUGGAAGACAGGCCAAGUCCCCGGGCCGACGGCGCCCGCGGGGCGGAAACAGCUGUUCGCCCUGGCGCCAGGGCCGAAAACCAGCAGUCCGCCCAGGCGUCCACGCUGAGACGCAGCGGUUCGGCAGGGCGGUCCGCGGACUGGCCAAGUCCCCGGGGCGACGGCGCCCGCAGGGCAGAAACAGCGGUUUGCCCUGGCGCCAGGGCUGAAAACCAGCAGUUCGCCCAAGCGCCGGAGCUGAGACGCAGCGGUUCGGCAGGUCGGUCCGCGGAGAGCCGUGCUCGGGCUACGGGGCGUGCACACGACUUAGGUGCCACCGCACCAUACACCACUGGGGCUGAGCAUGCACCUACGGACCUGCGGCAAAGUGUGCGUGGUCGGAUCGACUUGCGGCAAAGUGUGCGUGGUUGGAUGGAUGGGUGGGCGGAUGGCUGGAUGGAUUGGCGGGUGGAUGGCAAGGAACGCACCACGCAUGACGGAUAUGCCUCACGAGGUCAUGGGAGAAGGAGCAGCCCAAGUCCCUGGGAAAGCCGGCCUUCAUACACGCAUCGAGGUGCACGCGGCGCAAAAACUACAGUUCGGCAUGGUGUCUAGGUGAAGGGCACGGCGAAAACGAGCCAAAAAAGGGCGAAAACGACCCAAAAACGGGCCAAAACGGGCCACGGACGGCCCGCGGGUCCCGGGCCCACCGAGGUGGCCCACGGGGCCCAAGGGACCCACCCAUGGUGGCCCCACCCAAAAAGUCCAAGGUUCGGUCCAUCCACGGAAAACGACUGUCGGGCGCCUCCGGGGCGGAAACCAGCGUUUCUGAGCAAAAACUGGCCAAAACCGCAUAUCACAUGGAUUUCCUGAGGUCCUCCAAAACGUGUGAAGGAACCAUACAGAAAACUGGCAGAACUCCUGGGGGGGCUGGAUGCCCCUCGGGUAUAUUAGGGGAAGAGGGUUCGGUUGGAGGAGACCUCGGGUGAAAUGGCUGGAAACCACAAGGUUUUUGAUUCCAUGUUUUCGUGAGGCUCCUCCAUAAAGUCGGUCACGUAUCCCCCGGCCUCCGUGGAUGGCCGACGACCGGCUGUGGCUAGCUUCGGCUGGCUGCAGCUGGUUGUUGGCUGGCCAUGGCUGGCUGGCAUGCGGCCUUCGUUGGCUGCAUGCUAGUGAUCGCACUGGGAGGAGUUUUGGCGUCGCCUGACCUCCGUGGCUGGCUUGUAGCCUAUGGCGGCCUGCUUCGGCGGGCUGCUAUGGGCCGCGGGCUGGCUCGGUGGCCAGCGUGUUGUCGGAACGACUCCCGGCCUCCUUGGCUGGCCGGCUGCCUACGGCGGCCUGCUUGGGUGGGCUGCUGCGGGCGACUGGCUGGCUGGGACGGCUAGCGUGUUGUUGGAACGUUUUCGGUGACUUGCGGCCUCCUUGGCCGGUCGGCAGCUUGCGGUGGCCUGCUUCGGCGGGCUGCUUUGGGUAGCUGGCUGGCUAGGGUGGCUAGCUUGUUGUUGGAACUGUUUUGAUGAUGCGUCGGCUUCCUGGCCGGGUGGAAGCCUGCGGUGGCCUGCUUUGGCGGGAUGCUGUGGGUAGCUGGCUGGCUGGGGUGGCCAACGUGUUGUUGGGAUUGUUUCGGUGACUCGCGGCCUCUCUGGACGGCUGGCAGCCUUCGGUGGCCUGCUUCUGCGGGCUGCUGCGGGCAGCUGGCUCCCAUGGGAGGAAGCUUGUUGCUGGAACGGUUUUGGCUGCACGGUUACUCGUGUUGUUGGGAUUGUUUUGGUGACUCGCGGCCUCCCUGGACGGCUGGCAGCCUGCGGUGGCCUGCUUCUGUGGGCUGCUGUGGGCAGCUGGCUCCCAUGGGAGGAAGCUUGUUGCUGGAACGGUUUCGGCUGCACGGUUUCUCGUGUUGUUGGGAUUGUUUCGGUGACUCGCGGCCUCCCUGGACGGUCGGCAGCCUGCGGUGGCCUGCUUAUGCGGGCUGCUGUGGGCAGCUGGCUCCCGUGGGAGGAAGCUUGUUGCUGGAACGGUUUCGGCUGCACGGUUUUGGCCCGCUGUUGGAUAAGUUUCGGUUUCUCGUGUUGUUGGGAUUGCUUUGGUGACUCGCGGCCUCCCUGGAUGGCCGGCAGCCUGCGGUGGCCUGCUUCUGCGGGCUGCUGUGGGCAGCUGGCUCCCGUGGGAGGAAGCUUGUUGCUGGAACGGUUUCGGCUGCACGGUUUUGGCCCGCUGUUGGAUAAGUUUCGGUUUCUCUCGCGCUCUGUGGAUCCUCGGUUGCCGUCCUCGCAAGCAGACUCACCGUGCCUAGCGCGGAGGGAUGCUUUGGAUGGCUUAAUCGUCGUGGCUACGCUGGCGCAUGAGUUGUUUUGGACCUGUGACUGCUUGGAGGACCCCCGCCGGUGUGCGGCUGACUCCUAGCGCCAGCGUCCUGUCAUUCGUGCAGGCACCUUUUGCCUGCUGCAUUGACGAGUGCUUGCGUGCUGCUACCUGUCCCACAGGAAGUUGCGUUCGGUUACAUGUUGCCUUCGUUGAGCGCACCCUCUGGGUGUGGCUCGUCGGCUCUAGAGUACUUGUGGCGUUGCCUCAUGAUGUCGUCCUCCUAGGGUGGCACCGACAAGGACACCUCGCUUGUGCUUUUGGUUGCGGAUGCGGCUGAUGCCGAAGGCCGGAGGGCGUUGGCCUCCCGUGCCUACAAACCGAGUCCGUUUGGAAACAACGACAGCUAGCCCGGCCGAUGCCUCGUGCGGAGGUCGGCGCCGGCUCGUCGGCGAGGACGUGC
rnacentral:misc_RNA from 1 species